rnacentral:rRNA from 1 species
AACGAACGCUGGCGGCAGGCCUAACACAUGCAAGUCGAACGCCGUAGCAAUACGGAGUGGCAGACGGGUGAGUAACGCGUGGGAACCUUCCCAGUGGUACGGAAUAGCUCAGGGAAACCUGGGGUAAUACCGUAUACGCCCUUCGGGGGAAAGAUUUAUCGCCAUUGGAUGGGCCCGCGUCGGAUUAGCUAGUUGGUGGGGUAAUGGCCCACCAAGGCGACGAUCCGUAGCUGGUCUGAGAGGAUGAUCAGCCACACUGGGACUGAGACACGGCCCAGACUCCUACGGGAGGCAGCAGUGGGGAAUAUUGGACAAUGGGCGCAAGCCUGAUCCAGCCAUGCCGCGUGAGUGACGAAGGCCUUAGGGUUGUAAAGCUCUUUUGGCGGGGAAGACAAUGACGGUACCCGCAGAAUAAGCUCCGGCUAACUUCGUGCCAGCAGCCGCCGUAAUAC